ACCACUUCCUUAUCCCUUAAAAAAAAAAAAAAAAACACAGUUAUUAUAUUACUAUUAUUAUAUUUUCAACUAAUAAAAUAAUUCCCAUUAAAUUUAUCCAUCAGAUCAUAUGAUUAAUAGAAAAAUAUUUUUACUGUACUUUCUCUUAAAAGGAGAGAUAUGAUUAUUUGUUACUGAUAACAUAGUGUAAGUAUGAUAUAAUAGACUUUCUCCUUAUCGCUUUUUCUCGCACGUGCCCCCGUGUAAUCUUC
rnacentral:lncRNA from 1 species